UGAAUUCUUGAUUGAGGUUCCAUAACAUCGGGGUUCUGCACGGGUCCUUUUCCUUUGACCAAAGUUGUCAUCAUCUCCAUCAUUUUGGCCAUCUGAUCUCUUUGCUCGAGUGAUUCCUCUUGAGAUCUCAUUAUUAGAUCUCUCGUUUCUUAUUGCGAUUUGGCCAGUUGCUCUUGUAAUUCCUUUUGAGCCCUUUCCAUCCUUUCAAUUCUCUCAUUGAAUUCAG
rnacentral:lncRNA from 1 species